GACGAACGCUGGCGGCGUGCCUAAUACAUGCAAGUCGAACGAACUCUGGUAUUGAUUGGUGCUUGCAUCAUGAUUUACAUUUGAGUGAGUGGCGAACUGGUGAGUAACACGUGGGAAACCUGCCCAGAAGCGGGGGAUAACACCUGGAAACAGAUGCUAAUACCGCAUAACAACUUGGACCGCAUGGUCCGAGCUUGAAAGAUGGCUUCGGCUAUCACUUUUGGAUGGUCCCGCGGCGUAUUAGCUAGAUGGUGGGGUAACGGCUCACCAUGGCAAUGAUACGUAGCCGACCUGAGAGGGUAAUCGGCCACAUUGGGACUGAGACACGGCCCAAACUCCUACGGGAGGCAGCAGUAGGGAAUCUUCCACAAUGGACGAAAGUCUGAUGGAGCAACGCCGCGUGAGUGAAGAAGGGUUUCGGCUCGUAAAACUCUGUUGUUAAAGAAGAACAUAUCUGAGAGUAACUGUUCAGGUAUUGACGGUAUUUAACCAGAAAGCCACGGCUAACUACGUGCCAGCAGCCGCGGUAAUACGUAGGUGGCAAGCGUUGUCCGGAUUUAUUGGGCGUAAAGCGAGCGCAGGCGGUUUUUUAAGUCUGAUGUGAAAGCCUUCGGCUCAACCGAAGAAGUGCAUCGGAAACUGGGAAACUUGAGUGCAGAAGAGGACAGUGGAACUCCAUGUGUAGCGGUGAAAUGCGUAGAUAUAUGGAAGAACACCAGUGGCGAAGGCGGCUGUCUGGUCUGUAACUGACGCUGAGGCUCGAAAGUAUGGGUAGCAAACAGGAUUAGAUACCCUGGUAGUCCAUACCGUAAACGAUGAAUGCUAAGUGUUGGAGGGUUUCCGCCCUUCAGUGCUGCAGCUAACGCAUUAAGCAUUCCGCCUGGGGAGUACGGCCGCAAGGCUGAAACUCAAAGGAAUUGACGGGGGCCCGCACAAGCGGUGGAGCAUGUGGUUUAAUUCGAAGCUACGCGAAGAACCUUACCAGGUCUUGACAUACUAUGCAAAUCUAAGAGAUUAGACGUUCCCUUCGGGGACAUGGAUACAGGUGGUGCAUGGUUGUCGUCAGCUCGUGUCGUGAGAUGUUGGGUUAAGUCCCGCAACGAGCGCAACCCUUAUUAUCAGUUGCCAGCAUUAAGUUGGGCACUCUGGUGAGACUGCCGGUGACAAACCGGAGGAAGGCGGGGAUGACGUCAAAUCAUCAUGCCCCUUAUGACCUGGGCUACACACGUGCUACAAUGGAUGGUACAACGAGUUGCAAACUCGCGAGAGUAAGCUAAUCUCUUAAAGCCAUUCUCAGUUCGGAUUGUAGGCUGCAACUCGCCUACAUGAAGUCGGAAUCGCUAGUAAUCGCGGAUCAGCAUGCCGCGGUGAAUACGUUCCCGGGCCUUGUACACACCGCCCGUCACACCAUGAGAGUUUGUAACACCCAAAGUCGGUGGGGUAACCUUUUAGGAACCAGCCGCCUAAGGUGGGACAGAUGAUUAGGGUG
rnacentral:rRNA from 1 species